UACCUGCAGCUCUAGUGGUGUCCGCUAUUAUUGGGCCUAAAACGUCCGUAGCCGGCUUAUUAAAUGCCUGGGUAAAUCGUACGGCUUAACCGUACGAAUUCCGGGUAGACUGAUAAGCUUGGGACCGGGAGAAGCUAGAGGUACUCCUGGGGUAGAGGUGAAAUUCUGUAAUCCUAGGGGGACCACCAGUGGCGAAGGCGUCUAGCUAGAACGGGUUUGACGGAGAGGGACGAAGCCCUGGGGAGCGAACGGGAUUAGAUACCCCGGUAGUCCAGGGUGUAAACGCUGCUUGCUUGAUGUUAGUCGGGCUCCGAGCCCGAUUAGUGUCGGAGAGAAGUUGUUAAGCAAGCUGCCUGGAAGUACGGCGCAAGACUGAACUUAAGGAAUUGGCGGGGAGCACUGCAACGGUGGAGCGUGCGGUUU
rnacentral:rRNA from 1 species